rnacentral:rRNA from 1 species
UACGGGGGGAGCAAGCGUUGUUCGGAUUUACUGGGCGUAAAGGGCGCGUAGGCGGCCUGCUAAGUCGAACGUGAAAUCCCCGGGCUCAACCCGGGAACUGCGUCCGAUACUGGCAGGCUUGAAUCCAGGAGAGGUGAGUGGAAUUCCGAGUGUAGAGGUGAAAUUCGUAGAUAUUCGGAAGAACACCAGUGGCGAAGGCGGCUCACUGGACUGGUAUUGACGCUGAGGUGCGAAAGCGUGGGGAGCAAACAGG